UAUAGCUCAGUGGUAGAGCACAUACUUUUCAUGCGCGAGGUCCUGGGUUCAAUCCCCAGUA
rnacentral:tRNA from 1 species